AUGACUUCACGGAUGCUUGAGUACCAACAUCAUCCCAGCAAAAGGGCUAAGGCAGGGACUUCACAGAAGCUUGGCCCUUAACACCAGCCCAACAAGACAGUUUUGGUGAACAGGGUGAGCAGAUUGUCAAAAUGCCAGGAUACUUGGCAUGUAGCACAGACAAGGAAAUUUGAAGUAAAGGAGGAGGAAUCAGGAGCUCUGGGUUCUCUGCCACAAUUCAACUCCAUUACCCUGGGAGGAUUCACUGCCCCUGGAACCCUGGGUGUAUUCUUCUCCUUCCCUUCCCCGACAAAGCAAUGAGGUCUCAAGAAGAGGUCAGAUCUACCCUGGGUCCCAGAGAUUCCAAGUCACUUGAUGGUACCAGC